AUUGAACGCUGGCGGCAGGCCUAACACAUGCAAGUCGAGCGGAUGAAGGGAGCUUGCUCCUGGAUUCAGCGGCGGACGGGUGAGUAAUGCCUAGGAAUCUGCCUGGUAGUGGAGGAUAACGUCCGGAAACGGGCGCUAAUACCGCAUACGUCCUGAGGGAGAAAGUGGGGGAUCUUCGGACCUCACGCUAUCAGAUGAGCCUAGGUCGGAUUAGCUAGUUGGUGGGGUAAAGGCCUACCAAGGCGACGAUCCGUAACUGGUCUGAGAGGAUGAUCAGUCACACUGGAACUGAGACACGGUCCAGACUCCUACGGGAGGCAGCAGUGGGGAAUAUUGGACAAUGGGCGAAAGCCUGAUCCAGCCAUGCCGCGUGUGUGAAGAAGGUCUUCGGAUUGUAAAGCACUUUAAGUUGGGAGGAAGGGCAGUAAGUUAAUACCUUGCUGUUUUGACGUUACCAACAGAGUAAGCACCGGCUAACUUCGUG
rnacentral:rRNA from 1 species